CCCGCAUGUGUAGCAAGUGCAAUGGACAGGACGAAGGACUGACAACUGAAAACUGUGAAUCCUGCGAGAGGCUUUGUGUAUGCUGAUCGCGUUCGUAUCUGGCUUUGAUCUAUUAUUCCAUUUUCAGCGUGUUUACAAACACAUCAGAGCGCCAGGGCUGCUACCUGCUACCUUUGCCAGACUCCACCUACCUGGCCCUCGCACAGACGUGGCACAUCUGGUACCGUUAAGCUGUGGCCGCACAGCAGGAGCCGCACAAAGGUCAGUCACAGGACACAGGACGAGUACAGCACUUGGCAGUCGAUUCAUUUCCGUGUCGAUUGCGGUCAGUGGACUUCCUGGUCCUUGGGAUCUGGCUGCUGCCGUUGCUGUUGCUGCUGUUGCUGCUGUUGGCUGGCCCCUGGUCUAUUGCCCGGCACUAAUCCAGCGUGUGUUUUCAUUGGAUUUUGAAUGAAGAGCGUUGAUGAGCCAAAUUGCUUAAGCAGCAAAUGAUCCUUUUGCGGAUCUACACCUUAAUUGCAUUUUUCUCUUUUUGUGAGGAAACACUGGACCAAGCCAAAACUAAACUAAAGAAAACCCCAAGCUGGACAACAGCAGCAGUUAAUGAAAUCCUUCGAGUCAAUCGAUUUUGUGCAUUGCAAACCAAUUGCCAUUAAAUGGAAAGGAAGAAAAACUCUCUCAUCCGGAUGGAGGAUUAAACACAUGACCAGAAUCGUAUGAGUUUGCCAUAGAAAGGGAAAUUCUGUCUAAAAUCACAGUCAACUGCGUACAUUAAUAUGAAAAUAGUGAAUGUUAAUAGCCUGCAUUACCCGGCUUUGUCCGAGCCAAGUUUAGGCGUGAAACAUGUCUCAAAUAAGUUCUAACAUAGAUCUCUGAAGGGGACUCGACUGCAUGGCAGACCAAAAAAGUUUCGUAUAACUUCGUUAAAACAAUUUUUGACCUUUUGUGAGUCGAAUAAAACCACGUUUAAGCAUGCUUUAAAAUCAUA